GUGAAUCAUCGAAUUUUUGAACGCAAAUUGCACUCUCCGGUUUUCCGGGAGAGUAUGCUUGUUUGAGGGUCAGUCUAAAAAAAAUCGACAUUGUUGCUGUUAUUUAAUGGUGACUUUCGUCGGAGAUUGGGUUAUGUUAAAACUCUUUUUUUUUGGACUGAAGUAAUUAAAAAUUUUUUUACUGGUUAUCUUCACGGUUUCGA
rnacentral:misc_RNA from 1 species